GAUGAACGCUAGCGGCAGGCUUAACACAUGCAAGUCGAGGGGUAUAGUAGCAAUACUAGAGACCGGCGCACGGGUGCGUAACGCGUAUGCAACCUACCUUUUACAGAGGGAUAGCCCCAGAGAAAUUUGGAUUAAUACCUCAUAGUGUUAUUAGAUGGCAUCAUUUGAUAACUAAAGUUCCAACGGUAAAGAUGGGCAUGCGUCCUAUUAGCUAGAUGGUAAGGUAACGGCUUACCAUGGCUACGAUAGGUAGGGGUCCUGAGAGGGAGAUCCCCCACACUGGUACUGAGACACGGACCAGACUCCUACGGGAGGCAGCAGUGAGGAAUAUUGGACAAUGGGCGCAAGCCUGAUCCAGCCAUGCUGCGUGCAGGAAGAAAGCAUCUAUGGUGUGUAAAACUGCUUUUUGUACGGGAAGAAACACUCCUACGUGUAGGAGCUUG
rnacentral:rRNA from 1 species